GUUGGAUCUCAGUGAGAGAGAUGACUUUAACCACACAGCAGUGGCUCAUGGUCCACUUGAAGGCCUUCACAGCAGAUAUUUCAACAGGGCCGACAAGGCAGGCCAUUCAGAGAUACACCUGAGAGGAAUUCCACUCUACUCUUCUUUGUUCCAACCCACCAGCCCCUAUAAAUGGCUGAAUGAAAGGUCUUGUCCGUCUGGCUGGAAUAGAGUCUGAUCUUCUGGAUGGAUCCUCCUAUUCCCAUUCACAUCUGUCAAGCAGGAAAUCACCUCUGAUUUGUGUCUCAUGGAAACAAAUUCAUACAGAUUCAUAUCCCGAGGUUACCAGAGCCAGCCAGAUCCAGCUCCGUUCCUGCUUAGUGUCGGACACCACUGCUACGUGUCGCUGAGUGAUGACGACAAACUACAGCCGAUGCUAGCCAGACAUCACUUCAGAGGAUGAACUGAUUCCAACUCCAACUAGGGGAACUGGCCCCCACAGUGAGCCUGGUUUCUCCCAAGGUUAUUUUUCUCCAUUAACCAACAUCUUAUGGAGUUUUGUGUUCAUGCCACAGUUGCCUUCAGCUUGCUCACAGGGGUUCUAAAUACAAUUAUUAUUUAAUUAUUUAAUUAUUAUACACAGUUUACAAUCAUAUUUAAUCAGACUACACAAUGAUCACUCUAAGACUUUAUAGAUAUUACAGUUUCAUUUUUUAUUUUAUUUAUUUUUUUAUUUAUUUUGUUUAUGCAUGAUUUCCUGUAAACCUGCUUUGAAAAGAAUUGUGUUGUGAAAAGCGCUAUACAAAUAAAAAUGAAUUUACUUGACUUGGCUAUCAGGUUAUUAAAUUCCUGAUGUGGCACACCCAGGUAUGGGAAAACCACCAAAGUCAAUCUUAGCAAGUCAGACCGAAGCUGGGUGUAAGCGGGAUGGGGGCUGGUUUGGGGUCCGUCUAAGCAUGUUAGGUUUGUAUUUAACUGUUAUAAGGUAAUUUACCCAAUCACGUGCGAGCAGCUUUAACAUUUAGGCUCCGGCAAUUGAGUUUAGUCAGUAUUGUUAGAGGUAUGUGCGUCAACAGGUCUAAUUACGCAGGGAUAGAUCGUCUUUGACGUCCUGUUUAACAGCGAAGAUGAUGAAUUACCAGAGUAAUAUACUAUCAUGAAUGCACAUACUUUUGCUUACACACAAGUUUUCAUGCAAGGUAUAGGCCGCAGUCAAGAAAUCUCUUCUGGUUUCGCUUCUCUAUCUCUGCCAAUAAAUGUUUUAAUGUGUCCAACUGUGGAUGUUGACUUUGAACUCUUACUUUAAGUGUAAGUCAAAUAAAUUUUAGUUGUCACUUAAAUGUAUAACAGUGUUUUCUUUUGUGUUUUGUUUCUUUUUUUUUUUUUU